rnacentral:rRNA from 1 species
CAGCUUGUUGGUGAGGUAAUGGCUCACCAAGGCGUCGACGGGUAGCCGGCCUGAGAGGGUGACCGGCCACACUGGGACUGAGACACGGCCCAGACUCCUACGGGAGGCAGCAGUGGGGAAUAUUGCACAAUGGGCGGAAGCCUGAUGCAGCAACGCCGCGUGAGGGAUGACGGCCUUCGGGUUGUAAACCUCUUUUAGCAGGGAAGAAGCGAAAGUGACGGUACCUGCAGAAAAAGCGCCGGCUAACUACGUGCCAGCAGCCGCGGUAAUACGUAGGGCGCAAGCGUUAUCCGGAAUUAUUGGGCGUAAAGAGCUCGUAGGCGGUCUGUCGCGUCUGCUGUGAAAACCCGAGGCUCAACCUCGGGCCUGCAGUGGGUACGGGCAGACUAGAGUGCGGUAGGGGAGAUUGGAAUUCCUGGUGUAGCGGUGGAAUGCGCAGAUAUCAGGAGGAACACCGAUGGCGAAGGCAGAUCUCUGGGCCGUAACUGACGCUGAGGAGCGAAAGGGUGGGGAGCAAACAGGCUUAGAUACCCUGGUAGUCCACCCCGU